rnacentral:lncRNA from 1 species
GAUAAAAGAAUCGCGCGGGUUGCCUGUUGCCACUGCGGUCUUUGCCUUCAAAUAGCGAGAAUGUGACACGUGAAAUGUUUGGUCGACGAGCCUCACCUUCACAUGAAGAGGCCGUACACCCUGAGCAUUGGCACAUUUGAGGACCUUAAACAAGCCAUUGCGGUGUGCCCCAUCUUGGGAAACCUCGUCGCGCUGUCUACGUCUAGAUUUUCAGGUUAUGGACAUGAACUUUGAUGAGUACGUCGACCUUGGCCCUGGUGAUGAUAUACCACACAUGGCAAAGAUUAAAUUGGCUGCCUUUCAGUCGCCCACCUCUGGAUGGCUCGUCAUCAUCGACAUGUGACGUUGAGAAUGCUGAAGAGCAGGGGCCUGAAGAGAGCAGCUCUCUUGAUCUUCAAGAAGCUUCGGGCAUCGAACGUACUGAAC